GAGAAUGUAGCUCAGUUGGUAGAGUGCUUGUGUCCCAUGCAUGAAGCCCUGGGUUCAAUCCCUGGCACCUCA
rnacentral:tRNA from 1 species